rnacentral:rRNA from 1 species
GCUCAAAUUUGAAAUCUCACUGGGUCAACUAGUGCGAAUUGUAGUUUCAAGAAACGUUUUCGAGUAGACAGCCCGUGCCCAAGUCCUUUGGAACGAGGCAUCAGAGAGGGUGACAAUCCCGUAUCUGGUCCGGGUCUGUUUCCGAUGUGAUACGUUUUCCAAGAGUCGGGUUGUUUGGGAUUGCAGCCCAAAAUGGGUGGUAAAUACCAUCUAAAGCUAAAUAACGGCGAGAGACCGAUAGCGAACAAGUACUGUGAAGGAAAGAUGAAAAGAACUUUGAAAAGAGAGUUAAAUAGUACGUGAAAUUGUCAAAAGGGAAACGCUUGAAACCAGUAGUUGCAUUCGGCAAAUCAGCUGUCGCGAGCCAGCUUACUUCUGGAAAGCGGGCAGUGCACUUUGCCGACAUGCAGGUCAACAUCACUUUGCGAGUCGUGAAAAUGGUCGCGGAAGGUAUCUCUGGCCUCCGCUGGGGAGUUUAUAGACGCGAACGAUAACGACGAGCAGAGUGAGGAUCGCAGCGCGCCGUACGGCUUCAACGCGCUUAGGAUGUUGACGAAAUGGUUUUGAACGACCCGUCUUGAAACACGGACCAAGGAGUCUAACAUAUAUGCGAGUAUUUGGGUGGCAAACCCGAAUGCGUAAUGAAAGUGGACGUAGGUGGGAUCUUUGGAGCACCAUCGACCGGUCAGGAAAAUUUUUUUGGAUAGAUCUGAGUAAGAGCAUAUAUGCUGGGACCCGAAAGAAGGUGAACUAUGCCUGAAUAGGGUGAAGCCAGAGG